CAUGGCUCAGAUUGAACGCUGGCGGCAUGCUUUACACAUGCAAGUCGAACGGCAGCGCGGGGUAACCUGGCGGCGAGUGGCGAACGGGUGAGUAAUAUAUCGGAACGUACCCAGAAGUGGGGGAUAACGUAGCGAAAGUUACGCUAAUACCGCAUACGAUCUACGGAUGAAAGUGGGGGACCUUCGGGCCUCAUGCUUGUGGAGCGGCCGAUAUCUGAUUAGCUAGUUGGUAGGGUAAAGGCCUACCAAGGCGACGAUCAGUAGCUGGUCUGAGAGGACGACCAGCCACACUGGGACUGAGACACGGCCCAGACUCCUACGGGAGGCAGCAGUGGGGAAUUUUGGACAAUGGGCGCAAGCCUGAUCCAGCAAUGCCGCGUGAGUGAAGAAGGCCUUCGGGUUGUAAAGCUCUUUUGUCAGGGAAGAAACGGCAGAGGCUAAUAUCCUUUGCUAAUGACGGUACCUGAAGAAUAAGCACCGGCUAACUACGUGCCAGCAGCCGCGGUAAUACGUAGGGUGCAAGCGUUAAUCGGAAUUACUGGGCGUAAAGCGUGCGCAGGCGGGUUUUGUAAGUCUGACGUGAAAUCCCCGGGGCUCAACCUGGGAAUUUGCGUUGGAGACUGCAAGGCUGGAGUCUGGCAGAGGGGGGGUAGAAUUUCCACGUGUAGCAGNGAAUGCGUAGAGAUGUNGNGGGAACACCGGAUGGCGAAAGGCAGCCCCCUGGGGUCAAGAACUGACGCUCAUGGCACGAAAGCNNGGGGGGAGCAAACAGGGAUUAGAAUACCCUGG
rnacentral:rRNA from 1 species